GUACUUCCAAAGUACAUAUACUAAAAUUGGAACGAUACAGAGAAGAUUAGCAUGGCCCCUGCGCAAGGAUGACACGCAUAUAGUUCACCAAGUAAAGGUUUCU